AUUGAACGCUGGCGGCAUGCCUUACACAUGCAAGUCGAACGGUAACAGGUCUUCGGAUGCUGACGAGUGGCGAACGGGUGAGUAAUACAUCGGAACGUGCCUAGUAGUGGGGGAUAACUACUCGAAAGAGUGGCUAAUACCGCAUGAGAUCUACGGAUGAAAGCAGGGGAUCGCAAGACCUUGUGCUACUAGAGCGGCCGAUGGCAUAGUAGGUAGUUGGUGGGAUAAAAGCUUACCAAGCCGACGAUCUGUAGCUGGUCUGAGGGGACGAUCGGCCACAGUGGGACUGAGACACGGCCCAGACUCCUACGGGAGGCAGCAGUGGGGAAUUUUGGACAAGGGGCGCAAGCCUGAUCCAGCAGUGCCGCGUGCAGGAUGAAGGCCUUCGGGUUGUAAACUGCUUUUGUACGGAACGAAAAGCCCCGGGUUAAUACCCUGGGGUCAUGACGGUACCGUAAGAAUAAGCACCGGCUAACUACGUGCCAGCAGCCGCGGUAA
rnacentral:rRNA from 1 species